GACGAACGCUGGCGGCGUGCCUAAUACAUGCAAGUUGAACGCUAAAGCUUUAACUGGUGCUUGCACCGACUUAAGUUUUUAGAGUAGCGGACGGGUGAGUAACACGUGGGUAACCUGCCCAUCAGAGGGGGAUAACACUUGGAAACAGGUGCUAAUACCGCAUAAUUCCUUUUACCGCAUGGUAAAAGGCUGAAAGGCGCUUCUGGUGUCACUGAUGGAUGGACCCGCGGUGCAUUAGCUAGUCGGUGGGGUAACGGCCUACCGAGGCGAUGAUGCAUAGCCGACCUGAGAGGGUGAUCGGCCACAUUGGGACUGAGACACGGCCCAAACUCCUACGGGAGGCAGCAGUAGGGAAUCUUCGGCAAUGGACGAAAGUCUGACCGAGCAACGCCGCGUGAGUGAAGAAGGUUUUCGGAUCGUAAAGUUCUGUUAUUAGAGAAGAACACGUGUAAGAGUAACUGAUUAUGCGUUGACGGUAUCUAAUCAGCAAGUCACGGCUAACUACGUGCCAGCCGCCGCCGUAACAC
rnacentral:rRNA from 1 species